CAGGGAAAAGAUGUUUUCAUUUGUAAAUCUCCAUAUUCCUCCCACUUGGCUCUCGUCUCCACCCUGUGACCCUCUCCUCAGUCUUCCAUUGGACUCCCAAAAGAAAGAUGCCCUGAUUUUCCCCCUAUGGACCCCAGGGCACUUUCUACUGUGUGUCUGUUGCACAGCACAUUGUUUCAGGACCUCUGACAGAAUUAACAGGCCAGGAUGUUAAGG